rnacentral:lncRNA from 1 species
GAAACAGUUCGGAGUGAAAUAUAGAAGGAAGAAACACGAGGGACUAGCAGGAGCAUGAGAGGAAGGCUUUGAGAAACAAAAUAGCAUGCAGAAGUAGAGGGUGCCAAGGAUCAAAGGGAAGUGUAAAUUGGAGGAAUAAAAAACAGCCUGAUUGUACAUGUCCAGGAAAGGGGGAAAUUGGCAGUGCCCAGCUAGUCUAGGUGUCCCCUGCUGGGGCCCUGCUCAGGAAUGCGUGUGCAGCUUUGGUGUGUGUUUGUGUGCGUACAGGAGAUUGGCCAAUCAGGGCAGAAGGGGGGAGCAUGGGGGUGUGGCGGUUGGCAGCAGGGUGCACAUCCUCCCCCUUUGCACACACACGAAUACAAAGAGCUGCACGACCUUCCAACGGUGACCGGCGCCUUUCGCGGGGCCACGGAAAGGAAAACCCUCGACCACCCAGUGUGGGGAAGGCGGCCUUGAAAAGGGCCCAGCCUCGCGGACCUCCUCAGAGAGCCCCCUUCUCCCCUGUCCAUGUUCCUUUCCCCCGCCCCUCGCUCCUAUCCCCGGGCCUAGGCGCCACCGUCUGCAGCCAAUCGGCUCCCUCCUGCUCUUCCGCAAUAGCCUAUCGGAGAGCGGCGGGGCGGACGGAGGGCUGUGCCGUUCGUACACGACGGCGGCGCUCUUGCUUCUCCUGCCCUCCCCGCCCCCCCCCCACCCCGGGAGCUGCACACGCGGGAUGGAAUGCUGGGGAGCGUAGGAUUCCAAACCGUUGGGCCGCAGAUCCAAACGAGGAGAAGCCCCGGGCACGUUUCCCGCCUUGGGGGUUGCGAAUUUUAAAUAUGCAAAGAGACGCCUUGCGUGAACUUUAAAACCACUUUCGAGCAGUUGAAAUUGGAAAAGCGGAACAGCUUCCUAGGGUGAGGAUGGAUAGUUUCCCCUCUCCGCUUUACUUUCCAUUAUCACCUCAGACUCGGUCCCCUCCUCCGUCCCUAGUUACGGAGAUUCAAAAACAUUCUUCAAGGGCUGUUUGCAAGUGCUUUGCAAGAGCUGAAUGCGCUGCUGGUGUAGCCUUAUGAGGCUUUGCCCUCGGGUGGGAAAGAUAUUGCGCCUGGGAAAGGGAAGCGGGAGUCAACAGACACUCAAGGAAUAGUUUCAGAGAAAAAGUUUUAUUUCUACCAUCCAUGAACUGGUAGAAGGAGCAAGUGUGAUAGUUCUCAAAAAGCAUGCACGAGUUCACAAUCAUGUGCACAAGCAUAUAUACCCCUUUCCAGUUCCCUCCUCCUUUCUCCUUCCUCAGGAGUCCUCUGAGCAUGAACAGAAAGCUGUCCUGGGACUAUUGGGACUCUUGGCGCCCUUCCCAGGAAAGGGGUUUCAGAGUGUUCAGAUACGUUUCAAUCUCUUGUUCUGGCAUGGUUCCCGGACAGAAAGCAAGUUGCAAUGUGGUUCUUUAGCAAGGCCAGAAGGCAUGAGAAAGGCCUGAGAAACAAUGGACUGUUCUCUACCUUUGUUACAGCAGAGCGGAAGGUUUCUGAUGCUCAGCUGCUGAGAAAAUGAUUUUGAAAAGCUUUGAGAAGCUUUGAGCCUGCUUUGGUGGGGGCUGACUUUGGGCCUAGGUGGGGUCACCUGUCCUCACCUUCCUUCACUGGUUAAAAGCAAACUGUACUGUUGAGGAGGAAAAACAAACGUUGCACAGUGUGAACUACUGAAACAAAGCAGAGGUUUCCCACCACUUCUUUCUUUUGGCAGGGUCUCAGUGCUUCUACAAAGAAAUUGGAAAGAGGUAGCCAAAACCUGAACUGCUAGUUCAGCUCUUGAGUUCAUUGCAGGACUUUGACUGCCAAAAUAAUCAAUAGAUAUAGACUGUAAAAGCAGUAAGAUUUACAAGAGGUCAGCUGUGGGUUAAUAUAGAUCCAAAUGGACAAGUCGGGUGGCUGGAAGAUAGUGCUGAAUCCCUCCUAAUGUUAAUCACACUGAGCAUAAAUCUAGAUUGGGGCUCACAAACUGAUUCAUAGCCUGUUGAGGUUUUUUUUUAUUCAGGUGUUCUGUGGCGUGUCUGCCUUAAAUAUAAUGAUUUUUGAUUGUAUUUUAAUUGCUUCUUUUAUUUCUCAAAUUUAUUGAAUUAUAAUUUGAAUUCUAUGGAAUCCAAAUUGUAAUUCAGCCUGAUACAAUAUAAGAAAUAAAAGAACAAAGGAAAAUGCAGUUUAAAAUACAGCAUCUAGCAAAGGGCAUUACAACUGCAUCAAGGGGUCGGGGAGGGGGGAGUUUCCAAACCACAGAUUUAGACAUAUCAGAUUGAAUGCAAAUAUGAAAUGGCCUGCCCUGUUGGGUUUGGCAACAGCAGAUCUGUAUACAGAGGUUAGAGCCUAAAUCUAAGCAAUUUGGAUGAUCAGAAGCAGGUAGGUUCAGAUGUACUGCAACAUGGCUGUCUGCUCACCAGUCAUACUCUUAGAAAUAUUUCUUUAAUAUCCUUCCUCUUGUUUGCUGAGACCCAGCCUUCUGAGCAGUGCCAUGGGCAUGCCUCCACCGCAGAGCAUUCAAGGCCAGAUCUGAAGCCCGCCUUGCCUCCUCCAAGAGAACUAGCUGGGGAACACCAAGAAAC